rnacentral:rRNA from 1 species
AUACAGAGGGUGCGAGCGUUAAUCGGAAUUACUGGGCGUAAAGCGCGCGUAGGCGGCUUAUUAAGUCAGAUGUGAAAUCCCCGGGCUCAACCUGGGAACUGCAUCUGAUACUGGUAAGCUAGAGUUUUGGAGAGGGAAGUAGAAUUUCAGGUGUAGCGGUGAAAUGCAUAGAGAUCUGAAGGAAUACCAGUGGCGAAGGCGACUCCCUGGACUCGAACUGACGCUGAGGUACGAAAGCGUGGGUAGCAAACGGGAUUAGAAACCCCAGUAGUCC